rnacentral:rRNA from 1 species
UACGUAGGUGGCUAGCGUUGUCCGGAAUUAUUGGGCGUAAAGAGCUCGUAGGCGGUUUGUUGCGUCGGCUGUGAAAAUCCCCGAGGCUCAACCUCGGGUCUGCAGUCGAUACGAGCAAACUAGAGUGUUGCAGGGGAGACUGGAAUUCCUGGGUGUAGCGGUGAAAUGCGCAGAUAUCAGGAGGAACACCGGUGGCGAAGGCGGGUCUCUGGGCAACAACUGACGCUGGAGGAGCGAAAGCGUGGGGAGCGAACAGG